CCAGCUCUCUUUGCCGUAAGGCUAAGAUCAAGUGUAGUAUCUGUUCUUUUCAGUUUAAUCUCUGAAAGUAUUCCACUGGAAUACAACAUUGAUUAAUCUCAUUUUUGGUCCCCGUGGGAAUUCCUCUGUGCUUGCACAUGUAUUCCCGCACUGUGUCACUGGUCUUACACUGUCACCAGUAGACGCGAACUCAU
rnacentral:snRNA from 19 species